rnacentral:rRNA from 1 species
CCUACGGGAGGCAGCAGUGGGGAAUAUUGCACAAUGGAGGAAACUCUGAUGCAGCCAUGCCGCGUGUGUGAAGAAGGCCAUCGGGUUGUAAAGCACUUUCAGUUGUGAGGAAAGGUUAGUAGUUAAUACCUGCUAGCUGUGACGUUAACAACAGGAAGAAGCACCGGCUAACUCCGUGCCAGCAGCCGCGGUAAUACGGAGGGUGCAAGCGUUAAUCGGAAUUACUGGGCGUAAAGCGCACGCAGGCGGUCUGUUAAGCUAGAUGUGAAAGCCCCGCGCUCAACGUGGGAUGGUCAUUUAGAACUGGCAGACUAGAGUUUUGGAGAGGAGAGUGGAAUUCCAGGUGUAGCGGUGAAAUGCGUAGAUAUCUGGAGGAACAUCAGUGGCGAAGGCGACUCUCUGGUCAAUAACUGACGCUCAUGUGCGAAAGUGUGGGUAGCGAACGGGAUUAGAUACCCCGGUAGUCCACACCGUAAACGCUGUCUACUAACUGUUUGUGGAUUUAAUCCGUGAGUAGUGAAGCUAACGCGAUAAGUAGACCGCCUGGGGAGUACGGCCGCAAGGUUAAAACUCAAAGGAAUUGACGGGG